CAACCCGAUCCCUUUAGCCGUCCCUCCACUACCAAUAAAUCAAAAGCAUAACCGCCCAUGGCGCAUAAUAUCCAUUUAGUUGGGCCAUGCACACGUUUGGCAUGCAUGUACGCAUGAUGCAUUCAUGAUCCAUUUGCCCUCUCCUCUCCUCUCCUCUCCUCUCCCUCGAUCGCCCCACCACUUCUUCAAAAACCAACCACCUUCGUCCUCUUUCCCUUCUUCGUCUUGCUCACGCCAAGAAGCACGGCAAGAAACCGUUGGUCCAUACCAGCACGACAGGCCGGCCGGUGGUGAUUAGUUAGCUAGCUAGCUGCCGGUGGCUCUUUGCCCUUGUGUACGUACAUGGGGCAGGAAGAGGACGCCCUGACCGUGGCCUUCUCGUGGGAGCAGGAGCUGGGCAUGCCAGAGAGCCCGAGGAAGCCGCCGGUAGUCUUGUCGUGGGAGCUCGAGCCGGCCGUGAAGAAGCCGGUCUCGACGAUUGAAGGACGUGGUGGUGGCAUGCGGGAGGGCCAGAGGAAGGUUCCGGCGCUGGCAAGGCGGCUGUCGGUGCCGCCGCCCCCAGGCAGGCCGGCGGCGAGGGGCUACUCGAGGGCCGUCCGGCCUGAGGACGACCCGUUCCUGGCGGCGUACCUGGCCUGCACCAAGAGCGGCGGCGACGGCGACGGCAGGAAGAUGAAGACCGCACCAACAAGGGAGGCCAAGGGCCAGAGGCGGUGGAGCGGGCUGGGGCGUGGGCUCGGCGCGCUGUCCUGCAAGAGGUCCAACGGCGUGGUGGAGCAGAGCAUGACGUCAGAGAAGUGGCCGCCAGACGCUACAUGUGUGGUGUGAGAGAUGGUCCAGACAAGGACACUCUCUGAGAGUAAUGCUACACGUACAAACGAGUUACAAGCCUUUACAAAGAGGAUUAAUUUGAUUGGUCAAUAGAUGGGGAGGCGGCCCACCCCCCUGAAAAUCAGGAGGGGACAAGUUUGUGAUUGAGAGGUUUCGGGUUCAGACACGGACAAAGGUACAUCAAACAAAUAGGCAUGUGUCGUAACCCGGCGCCGACCGGUCCCUGUUGAGCUUGGAGAAACUUUGGAAACAGUCGGCGACAUGGACGCGACAUGUAUAUCUGCGAUGCCACGACACUGGACGCGAACUUGAAAAACACAGCUCGAGAAACAAAGACGACAAAGAUAUAAUGGCGCGAUUCACAAGCCGAAUAGCUGAUUCUGAUCAAAGAUUUAUCCACAGCUGGGUGGACUAGUCGAAAAAGAGAGUGUAUCCAGUUAAACGGCAAAAAACAACACACACCUCUAGCUAUCAAGGCGUGUCAUCCGAUGUUUAUCGAAUUAGAAUUGGAAAUCAUGUGCCACAUA